rnacentral:rRNA from 1 species
CAGCCGCCGCGGUAAUACAGAGGUCCCAAGCGUUGUUCGGAUUCACUGGGCGUAAAGGGUGCGUAGGCGGUGGGGUAAGUCUGAUGUGAAAGCUCGCAGCUCAACUGCGAAAUGGCAUUGGAAACUACCUCGCUAGAGGAGUGGAGGGGGGACUGGAAUACUUGGUGUAGCAGUGAAAUGCGUAGAUAUCAAGUGGAACACCAGUGGCGAAGGCGAGUCCCUGGACACCUCCUGACGCUGAGGCACGAAAGCUAGGGGAGCAAACAGGAUUAGAUACCCUGGUAGUCCUAGCUGUAAACGGUGCGCGUUUGCUGUAAAAGGAAUCGACCCCUUUUGUGGCGAAGCUAACGCGUUAAACGCGCCGCCUGGGGAGUACGGUCGCAAGAUUAAAACUCAAAGGAAUUGACGG